GAGUGAAAAAGUACCUGAAACUGGUUGCCUACAAACAGAUGGAGCCUGAAAGGGUGACAUCGUACCUUUUGUAUAAUGGGUCAGCGACUUAGUGUAUCGAGCAAGCUUAAGCCGGUAGGUGUAGGCGCAGCGAAAGCGAGUCUGAACAGGGCGUUCAGUUCGAUGCAUUAGACCCGAAACCGAGUGAUCUAGCCAUGAGCAGGUUGAAGGUGAGGUAACACUCACUGGAGGACCGAACCCAUAACUGUUGCAAUAGUUCGGGAUGACUUGUGGCUAGGGGUGAAAGGCCAAUCAAACUCGGAAAUAGCUGGUUCUCCGCGAAAUCUAUUUAGGUAGAGCGUCGACCGAAUACCCUGGGGGGUAAAGCACUGCAUGGGCUAGGGGUCCUCACCGGAUUACCAAACCUAAGCAAACUCUGAAUACCCAGGAGUACUAGUCGGCAGACACACGGCGGGUGCUAACGUCCGUCGUGAAAAGGGAAACAACCCUGACCAACAGCUAAGGUCCCCAAGUUAUGGCUAAGUGGGAAAGGAUGUGAGGAUCCCAAAACAACCAGGAUGUUGGCUUAGAAGCAGCCAUCAUUUAAAGAAAGCGUAACAGCUCACUGGUCUAAAUAAGGGUCUUUGCGCCUAAAAUGUAACGGGGCUAAAGCCAUACACCGAAGCUUUGGGUGCAUAGCAAUAUGCGCGGUAGCGGAGCGUUCUGUAGGCCUGUGAAGGGAGACCCGUGAGGGCUCCUGGAGGUAUCAGAAGUGCGAAUGCUGACAUGAGUAACGUAAGGAGUGUGAGAGACACUCCCGCCGAAAGACCAAGGGUUCCUGCUUAAAGUUAAUCUGAGCAGGGUUAGCCGGACCCUAAGGCGAGGCCGAAAGGCGUAGUCGAUGGGAAUCACGUUAAUAUUCGUGAGCCUGCAGGUAGUGACGGAUCAUCAAGGUAGUUCAUUCUUAUUGGAUUGAAUGGGCUGCUGCGUGGUUCCAGGAAAUAGCUCCUGCUUAUAGUCCGUACCCGAAACCGACACUGGUGGUCUGGUAGAGUAUACCAAGGCGCUUGAGAGAACUAUGCUGAAGGAACUCGGCAAAUUGCACGCGUAACUUCGGAAGAAGCGUGACCCCUUAGUACGCAAGUAUUGGGGGGUGGCACAGACCAGGGGGUAGCGACUGUUUAUCAAAAACACAGGGCUCUGCGAAGCCGCAAGGCGACGUAUAGGGUCUGACGCCUGCCCGGUGCUGGAAGGUUAAGAGGAGAGGUGCAAGCUUUGAAUCGAAGCCCC
rnacentral:rRNA from 1 species